UUAAGAAAUGCAGUGCAGUGGGCUGAAUACUAUAAUUCUAACAGGGGAAAACUGGCACUAAAAUCAGUGAGAAUUUUGUCUAUGUGAGGAUUAUAAGAUUGGUUAGUACUUAAAGAGUAACUUUUCUUCUUCCAUGAAGAUCCUCACUGAUGGGUUCCUAUGCUUUACCAGCUUCUCUUCUUUACCUCAGUCAGAUUACAGUGGAGGAUGGCAUGCUCUGAGUGCAGCUGCCAAUCUGUGGCCCAUGGCUGUGUCUCUUGUACUUAAACGUCAUGACCAUUGAGACAAGUGAACAUGUCAGAAAUCAGCCUUUGGAUGAGGAAGACUGGGUCCCAGCUGAAUCAAGCAGCACAGAUGCAGAGAUCAUGGUACCAAAAGGUGGCACAACUCAAAGCCCAGGACAGAGUAUAUACAGGCUUUGGACAAAGAAAUCCCUUUGCUAGAGGUAUGUGGCUAUGGGAUGAUCUUUCAGAGCAGAGUGGGGAACACAGUUGUUAACAUCUGGUUUUAAUUCAAACUCUGUGUUACCCUCCAAUGGGCACUGGGGACUAUGAAUGCAAAACUCAUAGCCUAAGCAGAAGUCCUUGUGUGUAAUAAGGAUUUUGGUGAUGAUUUUGGCUCAGUAUGGAGGAUGCACAAGCCUCGUUUGUCAUAGACUAGAUCUUGUCUCGUGCUUCCACUUCUCUCUGGAUAGACUCACCCAUAGAACAGAUUGCCCCUGCUUCUUUCAUUUCACUUUUCA
rnacentral:lncRNA from 1 species